CAGAGGGUGCGAGCGUUGUUCGGAAUUACUGGGCGUAAAGCGCGCGCAGGCGGCCCUUUAAGUCCGUCGGUCAAAUGCCGGGGCUCAACCCCGAGCGUGCCGAGGAUACUGGAGGGCUGGAGACACGUAGAGGCAAGCGGAAUUCCGGGUGUAGCGGUGGAAUGCGUAGAGAUCCGGGAGAACACCGGAGGCGAAGGCGGCUUGCUGGGCGUGAUCUGACGCUGAGGCGCGAAAGCGUGGGGAGCGAACAGGAUUAGAUACCCUGGUAGUCCACGCCGUAAACGAUGGGCACUAGACGCUGGUGGGAUCGACCCCUUCGGUGUCGCAGCUAACGCGAUAAGUGCCCCGCUGGGGAGUACGGCCGCAAGGCUG
rnacentral:rRNA from 1 species